GAUUUUUGCACCAACAGGAUUGACGCUAGAGGAAGGGCGCGUGCCUUCGCAGUACCCUUGUUCUUAAAGGAGCGCUCAACGGAACCGCCUCUGGUCAUCUUCUCUGACAUCUGCUCCUCCUUCUCCCCACUGGAUCCUCGCCCGAUGACUUCUCGCGAAGCAUCCGCAUGGCAACCCACGACCUCCGGAGCCUGAGAUAGCCAGAUCUCAGGCUCCGGUCUCGCCUCUGGUUUCCCGGGCCCCAC
rnacentral:lncRNA from 1 species